GAUAUUUUUAUUAGUGGGGCGAGUUGUCAAACCUUUAUUCAGUGGGGUUUUAACCUUUUACGUUAAUUUGUGAGUUUUCAGACUGAUUGUUCAAUUUGAUUUUACACUUUUUCAAAGUGGGGCAAGUCGGUAAACAAGAUUGGGACGAUAUUUUUAUAAAGUGGCGAUAUAGCGUGGGCCGAUUGGCAAGUGGGGCGAGUUGACAUUGUUUGAUAUCUACUCAUCGUGUUUGGGGGUCAAAAAGGGUAUACAUCAUAUAGUAAUAUAUAAAGUAUAUUGUUAUGGUUCUGUGGCG
rnacentral:lncRNA from 1 species